CCCCGAGUAGCUUAACGGUUGAGCGUCCGGCUGUAGACCGGAAGGUUGCUGGUUCAAAUCCGGCCUCGGGGA
rnacentral:tRNA from 1 species